rnacentral:rRNA from 1 species
ACGAACGCUGGCGGCGUGCCUCAUCCAUGCAGGUUGAGCGCUGAAGGUUGGUACUUGUACCAACUGGAUGAGCAGCGAACGGGUGAGUAACGCGUGGGGAGUCUGCCUUUGAGCGGGGGACAACAUUUGGAAACGAAUGCUAAUACCGCAUAAAAACUUUAAACACAAGUUUUAAGUUUGAAAGAUGCAAUUGCAUCACUCAAAGAUGAUCCCGCGUUGUAUUAGCUAGUUGGUGAGGUAAAGGCUCACCAAGGCGAUGAUACAUAGCCGACCUGAGAGGGUGAGCGGCCACAUUGGGACUGAGACACGGCCCAAACUCCUACGGGAGGCAGCAGUAGGGAAUCUUCGGCAAUGGACGAAAGUCUGACCGAGCAACGCCGCGUGAGUGGAGAAGGUUUUCGGAUCGUAAAACUCUGUUGGUAGAGAAGAACGUUGGUGAGAGUGGAAAGCUCAUCAAGUGACGGUAACUACCCAGAAAGGGACGGCUAACUACGUG